UACAGAGGUCUCAAGCGUUGUUCGGAUUCAUUGGGCGUAAAGGGUGCGUAGGCGGCGCGGUAAGUCGGGUGUGAAAUCUUGGAGCUUAACUCCGAAACUGCAUUCGAUACUGACCGUGCUUGAGGACUGGAGAGGAGACUGGAAUUUACGGUGUAGCGGUGAAAUGCGUAGAUAUCGUAAGGAAGACCAGUGGCGAAGGCGGGUC
rnacentral:rRNA from 1 species